UUGAUACUGUAGAGCUAGGAUUAGGUUGCUGUGGGCGGAAUGUGUGGUGUAGCGGUGAAAUGCUUAGAGAUCACACAGAAUAUCGAUUGCGAAGGCAGCUCACAAAGCCUAAAUUGACGCUGAGGCACGAAAGUGUGGGGAUCGAACAGGAUUAGAUACCCUGGUAGUCCACACUGUAAACGAUGAUAACUCGCUGUCGGCGAUAUACAGUCGGUGGCCAAGCGAAAGCGAUAAGUGAGCCAGCUGGGGAGUACGAUCGCAAGGUUGAAACUCAAAGGAAUUGACGGGGGCCCGCACAAGCGGAGGAGCAUGUGGUUUAAUUCGAUGAUACGCGAGGAACCUUACCCGGGGCUUGAAGGUAAGACGAAUAUAUGGGAAACCAUAUAGCCUACGGGCGUCUUGCUAGGGUGCUGCAUGGGUUGUCCGUAGUUUCGGGCCGUGAGGUGUUAGGUUUAGGUCCCUGCAACCAAGCGCAAC
rnacentral:rRNA from 1 species